ACAAUAUCCUUCAGUGGAGAAAUUGCAGAGCUAGCAUCGCCAAACCUCAAAUGUUGUUCCCUAAUUUCAAUCUUGUCAUUGUUGUAAAUCCGUUCAGAACCCAUUCCAUAUUGUGCAAUGGUCUCUGAAAAUCUUUUAUCUGCCAUCUCCUUCAAACUCUUCUGAACUUCAGAAUGUUCAGAAGGUUGAAGAGUAGUCGAAUGCUG
rnacentral:misc_RNA from 1 species